AAACCCACAAUUAUCCUCUAUGUUGUUAUUUAAUCAAGAUUUUAGAUCUGACAAAGAAAAAAAAACUAGAAUUAACCCAAAAUCGAAGAAUGAAUUUCUACAAGAGGGAGGCUUACAAUUGAAAUUGGAAAAUUUGUACAAACCAAAUACGUAAAUUUGCAAAUAGGAUAGAAGAAGUCUACUACUUACAUCAAGUGAAAUCGAAACUAACUCAAAAUUUAGCUACAAAUUGGGAAUUUAAGAAGAGAAAUUGAUAAUUCCUUCGUUUGACAACUUAAGUGCAGAAUUUAUUAAAUGACACGAGGAAAAAAUCGUGGAAAUUAAAGCAUCAAGUUUCCGAGUUUAAUUUCUACCAAAAUAUGAGUCAUUUCAUAAUUUUCAUAGUGUCAUUUACAAAAAUCUAUCAUUUACAAAAUUCGACAUACAUAAAUUCAAACACUAAAACCUUCAAUUGCCAUAAAUUGAAAUGAUGAAAAUCUGAAUUCUGUUAUUUUAGAAUUUUAUGUAAUUUUUAAUUUUUUCAUCCAAAUGAAAUAUUGAUGUUAAGUGAAUAGACAGAUAUCAAUAUAAUUUUUUUUUGAGAGUACAAAUGUCAAGAUUUUAGGUAAGGGACAACGAGGAUACAGAGAAAAUGGGACAAAAGAUGUGAACCCAAUUAUAUACAGUUUGGUUAGCGAGGAUGAAACCAUAAAGUUCCCCAAAACACACAAAGAACACGGACAAUUGUUAAGUUUAUCCUUGAAUUCACACAUAUUUGCACAAAUGAGAUUACUCCAAGCAUGACUAUACCAUUUGUUGGUUUAAUGUGAAAAGUAUGGACAACGAGGGUAAAAUCAUACAAACACACACAAAGAACAUGAACAAUUGCUAAGUUUAUCUUUGCGUUAUUUAUCCGACCUAACUGUAAAAUAAAAAAGAUGAAAAUAUAUAAUGUUCAUUACUUAGAUCUAUGAGCACUAAAGUCCUCCUUUUCAAAUUGCACAAAACAUCACUUUUGGUCUUUGGUAAAUUUUUAAAAUAAAUGAAUUUUUUACUUAUUUGUGAACUGAAAUGCCUCUAAAAAAAUAAUGAUAGUUCAAAGAAUUUGAUAGAAAUUAAAAAAUAUCCUCAAAUUACUUGGAAUUGAAGACCACAUAGGCAAAAACACCAAAUUGAAACCUCACUUUAAUGAUAAAAAUUGUAAACUACAAAGACAAAAAUGACGUCUUGCCUUAUGCAUAAUUGGAAUUUGCUGGUGAUAAUAGUCGAUAUCAUCUUUUGUCGGUCCGACCUAAAAAGAAGAAAAAGUUGAAAGCAUCUUGUACCAUUUUUGCCAAUGUGGGUCCAAACAAUUUGAAGAAGUCCACCGACAAUUUCUCAAAAGCUAUUGUGUGAGUGUUGUGAAGCCACUACUACAAAAAGCGAAAAAGACGACCAGAAAACAACGACGGUCUAAGUGAAAACCGUCGUGGUUUUUAAAAAGACGACGGUUCUAAAAACACCGUCGUGUAAUACCACCUUAGACAACUAAAAAUGGAGAUUCAAAUGGCUGUUCAAAAACAACGACGUACCUAAUUAAACAACCGACGUCUAUUUGAAACAAAUUUCCGCAGUGUAAAAUCAAAGCAAACAAAUAACGGCAGAAGUUAUGAAUAGACCGACGUAGAAAGUAAAGACGACGAUUUCAAUAAAAGCCGCCGUUUUUACUCAUAAAAUAACACGACGAGGUUUUCGUAUAAGACGCCGUAUAAUUACAAACAAAUCCACGGCUUUAAAAUACAAAAUAAUCUUAACAGAUGACACAGAUUUGCAAUCAGAGAGACAAUUUUUUGGAAGUUGAUCAACGUCGUUGCAAAUUUGCAAUCAGAGAGACAAUUUUCAACAACGGUUAUAUUAUACCUAACGACGUUUAAAAACAAAUCAACGUCGCUCAACAAAUAUAUUACGUCGUCUUAGUCUUACUUAAGACGACGAAAAACGACGACAGUAGUACAAAAACAGUCGUUGUUUUUAUAUUCUUAUUUUAUUUAAAUCUGUCGUGUUAGUUAAAAACGACGGCAUAACAAAAAACCGUCGUUUUGUUUCAAACUGAAUUAAUUUAAAAUUUCUUCAGGAAAGCAAAAUCUAUUUAUAAUUUCCUCGGGUUAGUAAUAUUGCGUCGUGUUAGUUUACAAAUUCUAGAACAUUAAUUUCCCUCAUUUUAAAUUUCCUCGGGAAAGAAAAAUCUAUUUAUCACGCUUUGUAAUUGAAAACUAAAACUGAAAGAAUUAUGGAAAAAAAACUCUAUUUAUAAUUUAAAAAUAAAAUCCACGUCGGUUGUAUUACACUUAACGACGUUUAACAAAAUAAUCUACGUCAGUAAUUAUAAAUCUACCGCCAUCUUACCUUAAUAUAGACGACGAGAAAAGCAUUGACAAUGUCUUCAUCAUAUCUCCCAGCAACUACUGAUUCGAUUGCUCAUGCUUUAGAGGCCAUCUGAAGCCAUUUCUAUUCUUUAUCGCAUUCUUGAAACCCAUCUUCUUCUUCUGAAGCUCUACGGAUAAAGGAAGAGGCUAUCACAAAUCUGACGGAUCUUCUUAGUCAAAAAAAUCAAGCAGAGGAUCAGGCACAUCUGAUCUUCAGAUUUCCCUGAGAAGCGAACUUUCCUUCGACAGCGAGUGGAGGCCAGGCUUGCAUCUCUUUUGAUGGAAAGCAAGGAGUAUUCAAAAGCACUAAGUGUCCUAUCAGGCUUGAUCAAGGAAGUGAGAAGGCUAGUUGACAAGCUUCUUCUUGUCAACUAGCCUAAAUGUAAGCUCAAUUUCUCUUUGAGAAAGACAUCCAAAUUAUUGUCUUUGAGAUGUGAGAGACAGUGUCUCUGAGAGAGGAAGAACUUGGAACCCUAAAUGUAAACCGCGAAAAUGAAUGAAAGCGACAAAUUUAUAGAAUAAAUUUUUAAAACCAACGGCGGUCCUUACCAAAAAACCGCCGUUUAAAUUGUAAAAUCAACGUCGGUAUUACCGACGUAUAUUACAGAACUCCACGUCGGUACAUUAAUAAUCCCGACGUCUUAAAUAAUCUACCAUGACGCGAGUUAUUACUUAUGUACUUUAAUUUUUGAGUUUACUACGACGGUACCUACAACACUACUGUCAUAUUAUUUUACCACGUCCGAAGUUAAAUUUACUGUCGUAUUUUGUACUUUAUACGUCGUAGUUAUAUGUAACCGCCGUAUUAUUUUUUUGAAAUGGUUUUAUAUGUAAGCAACUUUUCGUCUACUUGACUUACACAUUCGUUGUUUUUAUAUUCUUAUUUUAUUUAAAUCUGUCAUCCAAAAAAGAAACUUUACAUAUUCCAGAAUAUUAAUUUCCUUCGUUUUAAAUUUCCUCCGGAAAAAAAACUCUAUUUAUAACGCACUGUAAUUGAAAAAUAAACUGAAAGGUCACGGGAAAAAAAUUUCUAUUCAUAAUUUAAAAAUUAAAAUCCACGUCGGUUAUAUUAAACCUAACGACGUUAAAUGAAAUGAUUCCACGUCGAACGAAAAAUAUUGCGUCGUGUUAGUUAAAAACGACGUAGUUAAAUGUAACCGCCGUAUUAUUUUUUUGAAAUGGUUUUAUAUGUAAGCAACUUUUCGACUUACACAUGCACUGUUUCCAAACCCGAUUAAAAAUUUCAAUCUCCCAGAGAAACCUUUUCGUCUUUUUUCCUUGUCAAAGCAUUGUCAGAGUUUCUCAUCGUCUUCCUCUCGUCUUCUUCGUCGUCUCUGAAUUUAAACAUCGAUCAUCUUCCUCUUGCUUUCAUUGCACGCAAAAGGUAAGCUUUCAUUUUCACUAUUUUGGUUACUGUUUUGCAUGCUCAUACGUUUUUUGUUUGAAAAAUCUUUUUACCUUUUUUCUGGCCAAAAUCAUUUUACUUCUUUCCAAGUUUGAUAAAAUAUACAGACAAAGAGGGAAAGUUUCCAACUUUGAAGACAACUACCUCAACUAAAUAAGACGACGGUAGACCACGACGGUUCGUCAGUUGUUCUAGCGUCGUCUGAAAAUUGACAAAGUUGUUUUUAAAAUAAUAGUCUUUUUUUAUAUGCUUGUUUAAUUGCAGGUUUGAUUUCUCUGAACAAUGGUUUUUGUUUUUCCCUUAUUUGAUAAAAUAUAAAGAAAAAGAAACUAGGGUUGGUAUCUAAUAUAGACGAAAAAUAUCUUAUUGUUUUACGUCGUGUGAAUGUUAAUACCACGACGGUGUAUUACUAUUGACAUCGUAUGAACAUAAAUACCACGACGUUAUAUAAUUAAUAGUUUACCACGACGGUGUAUUACUAUUGACGUCGUGUGAACAUAUAUACCACGACGUUAUAUAAAUAAUGGUUUUAAACAUUUAUUACGUCUGAGAUUAUUUCAUUGCGUCGUCUAAAAUCAUAUCAUACGUCGUAUUUUUUUAAUACCGUCGUUUGUGUUCUUAAUGUUUUCCUGAAAUAUUUUCACUUGCAGUUUUGUCUGUUAAAAUGGUUUCUCAACAACAAACUAAGGAUUCUGGCUCCAAGAAGCUUGGAAUGGUAGCUCCUCAAGACAAGUCUUCGAAGGAGAUGAAGUCUUCGAAGAAGAUGAAGUUUGCUUCAUCAUCUGCUGAGACAGAACAAACCAGCCAGACAACAAUCUCUGAUGAUUCAAAGACUGGUUGAGGUAUGAGCACAAUGCCUCGUGUUGUGAAGAGAAAGCUUCAGAAACUGAGGCCAAUUGUUGAGUACAAUAAAAGGGGGAAAGGUGUUGGCCAAGCACAUAUUGAGAUGCAGUCGUAUAUUGGUGUCUUGGCACGCUCCAGGAUCCCACUUGUGGACAAGAAAUGGUCCCAAAUCCCCAAGGAUAUAAAGGAGCAGAUUUGGGAAGCAGUUGACAUGGCUUUUGUCGUAGGCCAAGGGGGCAAGACCUCUGUUUUAGCUUCUGCUUCCAAGAAAUGGAAGGAUUUCAAGUCUACACUAACGAGGCAUUAUAUCCUUCCAUACACCAAUGACAGGGAGAAAUUAAGCCAACCCCCUGAAACAUAUAAAUUCAUAGAGAAAGCACAAUGGGAUGCCUUUGUAGCUUCAAGGCUAUCCAAAGAUUUUGAGUCUGUGCAUUCUCAACAUGCACAGAUUAGGGAGAAACUCGAGUACAAUCAUCGAUUGUCUCGAAAAGGAUAUGCUGGAUUGGAGGAUCAAUUGGAGGAAACCAUGCCUGGGGUAGAAAUUGAUCGAUCUACCUUAUGGAAGAGAGCUAGACAGGACAAACAUGGUAACAUCCCUGAUCCAAAGGUGGCAGAGAAAACAAAAUUAAUUGUAAGCCUACUAUCACUCUGUUUUAAAUUUUUAUUAAACUGUGAAUUAUUCUUAUUACGUCGUAUGUUAUAUUUUUCGUCGUGUGAAUGAUAUUACCACGUCGACAAGUUUUUAAAAACGUCGUUAAAGGUCUAAAUAGGAAUCACUACUAUGUUUUUUGUAAUUAUAGCAUAAGACGUCGGUGGUUCAUUUUCGCGUCGUGUGAAUGAUAUUACCACGUCGAAACUUUUUUAAAAACGUCGUUAACGGUCUAAAUAGGAAUCACUACUCUGUUAUCUUUAAUUAUAGCAUAAGACGUCGGUUGUUUAUUCAUUUCGUCGUUUUAAAUAAAUAACCACGUCGGUAUAACUACCGUCGUGAUAAGUUAUAAUAACGUCGGUUUAUACGUUAUUGCGUCGUGUGAAAUUAUAUAAUACGUCGUUUGUACAUAAAUAACCGUCGUGUGUUUUUUUGUUUAUCUUUUUUUAGGAUGAAUUGCAGAAACAAGUCUCGGAAGGCAAAGUCAGAGUAGAUGGCAGCAAUGAUGUGCUGACCAUGGCUUUGGGCCCCGAGCAUCCAGGCAGAGUGAGGGGAGUUGGUGCUGGUGUUUCCCCAAGGCAAUAUUUCAAUUUGCCCAAACCACAGAGGGUGAGCUUUGACGACCGUUUGAAGGACAGUUUAAGAGUUCUCCUUCAAGAAGAGACUAAAAAGAUGGAGGCUAAGGCAAGGGAAGAGGCCUUAAGGAUGGAGGCUAGGACAAAACAAUUGGUAGAGGCUGAGAGGGAGCAUUUCCUGAGUCAGCUUUCCCAAUUAAUUCCCAAUUUUGAUCCAAGCAUGCUUAAACCAAGAAUUAGCCAAAGCCCCAAAAAUCCAAUGUCUGACAAAGCUAGCUGCUCUGGAGGUGAUGUGAGAUCCCUACAUUUGGAGGAUGAUACUGCCAAAAUGGGGAAACAUUAGCCAGAUGAAGAGAAGGAAGAAGAAAAAAGAGAUGAAUAGAAGGAAUAAGAAAAGGAGAAAGAAGAUGAAGAAAAGCAUGACGACAAGGUAUGUUCACAUAACUUUGCCUUUUUUAUUUGUUUUUCAAAAUUUCAGACGUCGAUAUUUUUAUUUAAUCCGUCGUUUGUUUACAACUUAGACGGCGGAAUUUUUUUAAGACGUAAUAAAAUAUUUAAACGACGGUUUUUUCACCGUCGUCUAAAUGGUUUCAGACGACGCUUUAUUCAUAAAACCGUCGUCUUUAUUGAAUUACCACGACAGUUUUUUCACCGUCGUUUAAAUACUUUUAAGACGACGUUUUAUUCCUUAAACCGUCGUCUUUAUUGAAUUACCACGUCAUUUUUUUUAUUUCUUUAAACAGGUUAUUGAAGUUGGUGAUUAUUCAAAUAUGGAGGCGCCAUCUUCUUUAAAAACCCUUUGUCGUUUUGUGGAAAUGACACUCCUGCCUGAGGAUAAGACACUCCAAUUUACAAUUGAUAUGGAGGUGUUUGGUGGUGAGCGCAAUACCUUCCUCCUGCCUGAAGAUAUUACACAAUUUGCAGGCAUGGAAGAAAUUGGAGCUACUGUAUUGGCUGUAUAUAUGAGGUUUGUACUUCUAAAAUAAUACCUCGUUGGUUUAUAUAUUGCGUCGUCUUAACUAACUAACCACGUCGUCUUAACUAACUACCGUCGUGAUAAAUAUAUUAUAACGUCCUCAUCUAUUUCAGUACGUCGUGUGAAAUAUUAUAAUACGUCGUUUUUUUUAUACAUAACCGUCGUGUUUUUUUGUGCUGACUUGUUUAUAUUAUUUUAUGUAUUUAGGUACUUACACGAUGUUUUGAAACAAGCCAAUAUGUGCAGCAUGGUUGGCUUUAUCGACCCUGCUUCAGUUAGUGCCAACUCUGGCACAAUAACUGAAAGAUCACGACUGGUAGCAGCUCGACUUCAGAAGACAGACGGUGAACAGAUUUUCAUGAAGCCUUACAAUCCAGGGUUAGUCUCCUUAGGAUUUUGUUUUUAUGAUUUUCAAUAAAUGACAGCUUAUAAACUAACCACGUCGGUGUUUUAUUUUAUUUAGUCGUUUGAAACUACUAACCACGUCGGUAUUUAUUUAUCGUCGUGAUAAAUAUAUAAUGUCGUCGUUAUCUACUUUAUUUCGUCGUGUGAAAUACUAUAAUACGUCGUUUUUGUAAAUAACCGUCGUUUUUAUAUUAAUUUUGUGCAGCCGUCAUUGGAUCUUGCUGAUUGUAAGUGCAAAGAAGGAGACCGUCUAUUUUCUGGAUCCUCUGCCAGGUCAUCGUGUGGUCGACGAAGAGGCGAAAAACAUCGUGAACAGUGCUUUAAAAAUAUAUAAUACCCACAUUGCCCGAGCAGGACGUAAAAAUGUAAUUUGGAAAACUCUCUCAGGCACACCAAAGCAACCCAGCAAUGUCGAAUGCGGGUAUUAUGUGAUGCGCUUCAUGAGGGACAUCAUCAUGGAUCCUUCCUUGGGGUUUGAGAAUAAGGUAAGAAGAAAUUACCUUCAUACAUUUCACGUCGUUUUUUGUAUUAUCAACGACGGUCAUGUAAAAUUAACGUCGUUGAAUGGAUAUACUACGUCGGUUAUGAAAAAUAUCGUCGUCUGUGAUUGAAUUUCUUUUUAUUUAUAAACCCUAAUAGUCAUUGUUUAUGCAGUAUGCCAAGGGAAACCAGGAAGCUUCAUACCCCCAAGAAGCCAUUGAUGAAGUCCGGAAUGAAUGGGCAGAGUUUGUUUUCCAAAUUAUUAAACAGGGCAAUUAUUGAACACUUGAUAUUUAUGUAGAAUGUACAAAUUUUCUCUAUAAUAUGUAAUGUAAAAAUUUGUUGAGGUUUUCUUAAAUUAAAAAAAAAACAAACAUACAAAUUGCUUAACCGACGUGUAAUACUUUUCCAACGACCUAAUAAAGUCAAAAACCGUCGUAUUUUGUUGUUUCGUGUUUUAAACAAAUACGACGUAAAAAUAUAGUUAGACGACGUUCUUUGAACAAUUGAGUCGUUUGUGGUUUACAACAUCUUCAAUUUCUUAAGGGUUCAGGGUAUCAUCGACGACGUUUAUGUAACGACAGCGGUUAAGUCGUGGAAUAUAUAUUUUACGUCGUAUAGUUAAAUAGCCGCCAUGGUUUCUCAUUUUAACGACGUCAUUUUAACGACUUAGUAGUCUAUUACAAUUUACAACGUCUACAAUUUAUUAACACCGACGUGGUUUGUUGUUGUGGUAAGAAUAUUUUAUUAUUUUUAUAUCAAAAUAUUCAAAAUAAAUAUAAAAUAAAUCAGAAAAUUGAAAAGUCAACUCCUAUGAAGUCAUUGAUAUAUUUUCUUCCACAUAAACCUUGAAAAAAUUCAUUUUGAAUAAUAAAAAUUUAAAAUGACCAUCCAAAACAAAAUUGUUUUGAUGAGUCAUAAAAUCACUUCUAGUUUUAUGGUUUAAGGUUUAGAGUCUAGGGUUUAGAGAUUAGGGUUGUUAUUUAUUGGGGUUUAUUUUUAAAGUAUAAUUUUUGGGUAGUCUAGGGUAUAUGUUAGGCUUUAAAACCAUAAAACCUUUUAUAAACUUAAUUUUUUAAAUUGUAUAAUUUAGUUUUAUGGGUUUAGGGUAUUAAUUUUUAACGACGGUGGUUGGGUCGUGGAAUACAUAUUUUACGUCGUACAGUAAAACAUACGACAUGGUUUACGCUUUAAACGACGUCAUUUUAAUAUGUAAGUCGGUUUAUAUAAUUUACAACGUCUUUAAUUUCUUAACACCGACGUGGUUUUUCAGUCGUCGUUAUAUAAAAAAUUCAAAAUAAAUUUAAAAUUAAUCCGAAAAAUGAACGGCCUUACGUUCUUAAUCCGAAAAAUGAAGUUUCCGUCGUGGAAUAUUAAAUUUACGUCGGUACUUGUAGAACUUUCGCCUUGGUUUUUCUUUCGACGUUUUAAAACGCGCGCGCUCUAAAAAUUUUCGCGCGACCUAAAUUUUUUUAGAUUUGGCUCUUAUUCUUAUACUUCGAUCCCUGAAACCUAAAAUUUCAGAUUUCGCGCGACAUAACAUUUCGCUCUCUCACUUCUGCUCUAAUUAAAAGUUGCACUCUCCAGGCUCCGUCGAAUCUGUGAGCUCGUCCAACCUGUAAGUACAAACCCUAUCUUCCCCUUGUAAAUUCAUUGAAUGAUAUUAGGUUGUUUUGUUAAAGGGUUUUAUGUGUAUGCUUUGCGAUCUGUUAAUAAUGUGCUUAUAGGUAUGGGUUCAUGGAUUUUCAGUUUAAUGGGUUCAUGGAUUACAUUAUCUGUUAUGUUGAAUUGGGAAUGGAUUUAAUUUUGUCGUAUCUUUUAAUCACCCUAUGUUAUGUUGAAUUGGGAAUGGAUUUAAUUUUGUCGUAUCUUUUAAUCACCCUAUGUUAUGUUGAAUUGGGAAUGGAUUUAUUGUUUUCAUGCUUGGUUUCAUGUAUAUGUUGGUUUCUUGCUUGGUUUCAUAUAUAUGUUGUGUUCUUAAUGGGUUUUGUGUUCUUGAAAAUAAACUGAGACACGACGAAUUUUAAGGCAUACGACGACGAUUACACGACGGUUUUUUUAAACUACCGUCGUUGUAUUACUUAUGCACGACGGUUUUUUCAUAAACCGUCGUUUGUAUUACUUAUAAUAGACGACGUCUGUUGAAAAUUCGUCGUCUAUAUAUGCCAAAUACGUCUGUUUUUGUUUAAAACCCGUCGUCUCUGUUGUGUAUUACUUGCGAUUAGAUCAUUGUAUAAUCUGCUAUAGUGAUGGUCAUUGCCUGUAUUUUCACUUUAUUAUAGAUAAUAGGUUAUAGUGUCGGAGAUGGAUAAGUCAUGGAUGCACUCGGAUAGAAGAUCGAAGGCAUAUGAAUUUGGGGUGGAAGCAUUUUUGAACUUUGCUGUAGAAAAUCUUCUAACUACAACACAUAUCCGUUGUCCAUGUGUUAAAUGUGUUAAUUUGAAGUUGUUUGGGGUUGGAAUUAUAAGGGAUCACUUAUACUUUAAUGGAAUUGACCAAAGCUAUAAGAAUUGGACAUUUCACGGAGAACCUUGGGAAGCAACUACUAAUGCUAGUAGAAAUGUUGAAGAAGAUGAUGGCCAUAGUAGGUACAGUUUUGUGUCUGAAGAAAUUGAUAUGGAUGAUAAUGAUUUUGGUGAUUUUGGUUCGGAUCCGUAUGAGUUUGCCAAUGUGAUUGGGGAUGGAGAUCAACCAGUGUACCCUGGUUGUAGAAAGUACACGAAGUUAUCGGCAUUAGUGAAGUUGUAUAAUUUGAAGGCAAAACAUGGGAUGAGUGAUGUCUGUUUUAUAGAAUUAUUGAUACUUCAAGGCGAUUUGCUUCCAGAAGGAAAUACAAUACCAACCUCCAUGUAUGAGGCUAAAAAGACUUUGUGUGCAUUGGGGCUGAGUUAUGAGAAAAUGCACGCAUGCCCCAAUGAUUGCAUCUUGUAUAGGAAGGAGUAUGAAGAUUCAACUAAUUGUCCUACUUGUGGUAUCUCAAGGUGGAAGGAAGGCAAAGAUGCAAUCUUGAAAGAGGGUGUGCCAGCGAAGGUGGUGUGGUAUUUUCCCCCAAUUCCAAGGUUUAAAAGGAUGUUUCAAUCACAUGAGACAGCUAAGAGUUUGACUUGGUGGCAUGCUGCUAGAAAAUCAAUUGACGGUCAGAUGUCUCAUCCGGCGGAUUCCCCGUCUUGGAAACUUCUUGAUGAUAAAUGGCCUGAGUUUGGUAAUGAGCCGAGAAACUUGAGAUUGGCUCUUUCAUCUGAUGGAUUCAAUCCCCACAGUUCUCUAAGUAGCAGAUAUAGUUGUUGGCCGGUUAUCUUAGUUACAUAUAAUCUCCCUCCAUGGCUGUGCAUGAAACGAAAGUUCAUGAUGUUAACCUUACUGAUUUCCGGUCCUAAACAACCCGGAAAUGAUAUAGACGUCUACUUGGAGCCUUUGAUUGAUGACUUAAAAUCCUUGUGGGUUGGGAUUAGAGGAGUGUAUGAUGCACAUAAUGGAGAAUACUUUACACUCAGAGCUGCAUUAAUGUGGACAAUUAAUGAUUUCCCCUCCUAUGGAAACUUAUCUGGUUGUGUUGUUAAAGGAUAUAAAGCUUGUCCAAUAUGCGGCGAUGAUACACCUAGUCACAGGUUGAAAAAUGGCCACAAAAUUUGUUACAUUGGGCAUAGAAAAUGGUUACCAAUCAAUCAUCCAUAUAGGAGGCAACGUGCAGCUUUUAAUGGGAAACCUGAAUAUGGCAUACCUCCAGAGCCAUUAACCGGAGAAGAAGUGCUGCAUAUGGUUGAAAAUGGUGACAGAGUUUGUUGGAAGAAGAAAUCAAUAUUCUUUGAUCUCGAGUAUUGGAAAUACCUUCCUGUGAGGCAUGCCCUAGAUGUUAUGCACAUUGAGAAGAAUGUUUGCGAUAGUAUCAUUGGUACAUUGCUGGAGAUCCCUGGAAAAAAUAAAGAUGGGAUUGCUGCUCGAUUAGAUUUAUUGAACAUGGGGGUCAAAACUGAUUUGCAACCCGAGUAUGGAGAAAGACGUACUCGUUUGCCUCCUGGGCCUUGGAAUUUGUCAAGAGCAGAGAAGAGAGAGGUUUGCAAUUCUUUCUAUGGUAUGAAGGUCCCUGAAGGUUAUUCUUCAAAUAUUAAAAAUCUUGUAUCUUUACAAGAUUCAAGACUUCUUGGCCUUAAAUCACAUGAUUGUCAUACCUUAAUGCAACAAUUGCUCCCUGUGGCAAUUCGUUCUGUUUUGGAGAAGCCUGCAAGGUAUGCAAUAACUCGUUUGUGCUUCUUCUUCAAUGCUAUAUGUGCAAAGACUGUUGAUGUUUCCAAGUUAGAUAAGUUGGAAGAAGAUGUAGUAGUUACUCUGUGUUUGCUUGAGAAGUACUUUCCCCCUUCAUUCUUUGAUAUCAUGGUUCAUCUAGUAGUACAUCUUGUCAGAGAAGUUCGUCUAUGUGGGCCAGUAUAUUUUAGGUGGAUGUAUCCGUUUGAAAGAUAUAUGAAAGUGCUGAAGGGGUAUGUUCAGAAUCGUACUCGUCCCGAAGGUUGCAUUGCUGAGCGGUAUAUAGCUGAAGAAGCGGUAGAGUUUUGUACUCAGCAUUUAUCUGAUGUUAGUACAGUUGGAGUGCCUUCAAGCCAAAAGAUGGGAGUUUCAAAGCCAUUAUCAGGUUGCACAGUGAGCGUAGUUGAUCAGGACCUGUUGAAUCAAGCACAUCUAUAUGUCUUGGAGAAUACGGAGGAAGUCCUACCUUAUAUCGAGUACGUAUGAGUUUUAUUCUUUAAGUUUCCAUUUAAAAUUAUUUCUUAUGUUUAUCUUAUAUAUUUGGGACCGUAAUGCUUGAAUUUUUCGUGUCAUGUAGGCAACAUAUGAUCCACAUCAAGACUGCUUAUCCAAAAUUUAGAAAGAGAACAAAGUGGCUGCAGGAUAAGCACAAUAGCACUUUCAUUCAAUGGCUACGCUUCAAGGUAUAUGUUGUUGAAUAACAUAUUUCUCUUUUAAUUUUCUUCUUAUUUAUAUGUUAGAUUGAAUUAAGAUAUGAUUAAUUUGCAGGUUCAAAGUGAACUUGAGGAAGACAAUCAUGGCGUAUCAGAAAAUUUAAGGUGGCUAGUAGCUGGUCCAAACAUGUCAGUGCCAUUAUAUAGGAGCUAUCUUAUUAAAGGUAUUAAAUUCAAUAUCAAGGCACAAGAUGAUGUGCGGACAACUCAAAAUAGUGGAGUUUAUUUACUUGCACAUACCAUGCAAGUUGCUAGUGCCAAGGAUAAAAACCCAAUUCUCUCAAAUAUGGGUUUCUAUGGUGUCAUUCAAGAAAUUUGGGACCUUGACUACCAAAAGUUUACAAUCCCAGUCUUUAGGUGUGAUUGGAUAGAUAGUUCUGGUCUUGUAGUCGACGAACUUGGAUUUACCCUUGUAGAUUUGAGUAAAAUUGGACAUAGGAAUGACCAAUUUGUUUUGGCUUCUCAAGUCAAACAAAUAUUUUUUGUUGACGACCCGAUGCAUCGUGGUUGGUCGGUAGUGUUAUCAAUGCCUAAUAGAGAAUAUAAUGAUGUUAUUGGUGAUGAAGUCUUAGGUGAUGUGAUAAUUGAGUGUGAGCCAUUUACUAGAGGGAUGCCAAAUGUUGACACAUUUGAUGAACUGGUAGGUGAGUUAGGCGGUCAAAAUAUUCGAGAUGGGUGUGAAGAUAUAUGGAUUUAAUGAUGCUUAUGUAAUUGGCAGUGUAUGACAUUAAUUUUGUAAUAUAUUGUAAUGUGAUUUCUUCACUUUCUACGUUCAAAUAAAACACGACGUUAUUGUGAAUCAGUUAUUCAGCAUAUUUACCGACGUCUUAAAGCAACGUAACAAUGAAGAACCACGACGCUAUUGUGAAGCAAUUAUUCAGGAUAUCACGUCGGUGAAGGAUUAAGAACUGCCAUGUAAUUCAAAAUAACACGACUCCAAUCCCAUAAUACCGACGUCUAAAAAACGAGAUAUAUAAUCUGAACGUUAAAAAAUACGACGUCAUCAUACAUUUUCCACGUCGCAAGUUCUUUUAUAAACGAAGAGGAACGAAAUGAAUUCCGACGGAAAUUCAUUAUAACCGCUGUCUAAUAACAAUUAAACGACGUUAUUUGUAAUACGGCUCCCAUCAUAAUCUACGCCGUCUAUAUGUUCUGUAAUACGGCUCUCAUUUAUUUGGAACCGACGUUGUUUAGAAGUUCAACGGCGUCUAUAUUAUUAAGUGCGUCGUGAGUAAUGAAUACAUAUAAAUACAACGUCGACUAUAUAAAUGUAUACGUCGUAAAUAAUGACACUGACAACUAUUUCCACGUCAUCUUUUGUAGAAAAAUCGAAGUGGAAAAUUUAUUUCACGACGGUUUUUUGUAAAUAAGAGACGUAGUAGAUUUCAAUAACGUCGUCUUCUCAUGUAUUUAAAGACGUCAUAUUUUUUCUUGUCGUGUAAAUUAUAUUUAACGGCGUAGUAUUUUAGUUGUCGUCGUUGUAUGUAUAUCUUGCGGCCUUGUUCUUUUAAUAUGUGUCAUAUUUUUCCUUUUUAACGACGGUGAUUUUUUUGAGUUGGUCGUCUAUUCUCAUCCUCGACUAUUUUCUAGAACUUUAGCAGACUAAACACGUCUGUUUUUAUUUUUUUCCGACGUUGUUUUAUUUAACAACGUCUAAUAUUUAUCGUCGUUGUUUGUUUCUGAAAAUAGGACGUAUAAAUUUUGUAAUACGACUCUCAUAUAUUUGUAACCGACGUUGUUUAGUUUUUCAACGUCUACUCUAUAAACACAUACGUCGUAAAUAAUGACACUGACAACUAUUUCCACGUCAUCUUUUAUCGAAAAAUCGAAGUGGAAAAUUAAUUUUACGACGGUUGUUUUUAUAUAUGCGACGUAGUAGGUAUCAAUAACGUCGUCUUCUAAUGUAUUUAAAGACGUCAUAUUUUUUAUUGUCGUGAAAAUUAUAUUUAACGUCGUCGUAUUUUUAUUUUCGUCGUUGUAUGUCUAUCUUGCGGCCUUGUUCUCUUAAUAUGUGUCAUAUUUUUCCUUUUUAACGACGGUUUUUUAAGAGAGUUGGUCGUCUAUUAUCAUCCUCGAUUGCUUUUUUUAGAUCUUUUUGCAGUACAAAGACGUCGUUUUGUAUUUGUUGAUGACGUUGUAUAGUUUAACAACGACGGUUAUUUAGCGUCGUGGUUUAUGAGGGAAAAGAUGACGGUGGAUUCCACGACCAUUGAAAAACCCAAUACACGACGGUGAUUUACCGUCGUCUUUGUGCUUUUUUGUAGUAGUGAGCUAAACCAAUAUUAUUUUGCACAUACGACCCCACAUCCCCAUGUGAGGCUACAGAAGUGUUUCCAAAACGAAACAUGAUAUUUCAAAACGAAGCUAUGUAUAGAAUAGAGUCAUUUGUAUUUGCUUUCACAAUAACAUUUGAUUUGUGAAAGCAUUUUAUAUUUAUACAUUCUGAUAUUCUAACAAAUAAAUUGACUAAACUUGGCCAACAGGAUUUAGCCGAAUGGAAAAGUUCUUAUUUAUAAACUAGUGGUUUCAUAUUUGAACUCGAUGACACUCUUGUAGAGUGUGAAACCCUUUUUACCCUUAAAAUUUAGACUAUCACAUGCUGGGUGCCGUUAUUAAGUUUUAUCCUUGUUUCUUGUUGAAAAAAAAUUGAUAAAAAAUAAUAAUUCCUAUAGCUAGCAACUUCUCCACCUUCCCUUCUUCGCAACUAGGGAUGCCAUUGCAAGGUCACCAUCUCAGAUUAAGUCCUCCUUUUAAAAUUGUGCUGUUAUUCAAAAUUGCAAUAUGCUGGUCAUUCUUGAUAUAAUCUGUUCCACAAAAAGAAAAAGAAAAAAGUUGAUAGCAUCUUUUACCACUUUGGCCACUUUUGAACAUGUUCACCGACAAUUUCUCAAAAGCUAUUAAGCUGUACGUCCACAAUAUUAUUGCAUCCAACUUUGCAUGUGAGGCUACAGAAAAGUUUUGAAAACGAAACUGGAUAUUUUAUCUCUAACAGCUUUCAUACUUCGUUCACCCUGUGUUUCCAAGUUGUGCUAGCUAUUUGCAAACCUUGGAAUAUUACUUCAUCCAAAUCCCUUGCAGAGAAGAGAAAGAUAUGGCUUUGAUCGGAGAGGCCCUCAUCUCUGCUACCAUCCAGACGUUGUGUGACAAAAUUGCUUCGCCUGAGUUCACCGACUUAUUUCGGCAGAAAAAGCUCGAUGAACAACUCCUCAACAAGCUGAAGACGACGCUGUUGACCUUGUCCGUAGUGCUUAAUGAUGCAGAGGAGAAGCAAAUUGAGGAACCUUUAGUGAGAGACUGGCUUGACAAUCUCAGACAUAAUGUCUUGGCUGCGGAGGACUUACUGGAUGAAAUCGACACUGAAGCUUUGCGAUGCAAACUGGAAGAAGGUGAAGGUCAAACCCACAAUUUAACCAAGAAGGUACGUGAUUUUUAUCAACGCAUGAAUGUUGAGAUGAAAGAUUUAUUAGAAAGAUUAGAACAAUUUGUACAAGAGAAAAGUGCUCUUGGUUUGAGAGAAGGUGCUGGGAGGAAGGUUUCACAAAGAACAACAACUUCCUUGGUUCAUGAACCUUGUGUCUAUGGUAGAGAUGAAGUCAAGGAAAAUCUGUUGCAAAUUUUGUUAUCUGAUGAUGCAAGCAAGGAUGAUGUGUCUGUCCUCACCAUUGUUGGAAUGGGCGGGGUAGGCAAGACAACCCUUGCCCGACUGCUUUACAAUGACGAUAAGGUGAAAGAACAUUUUCCACUUCAAGCUUGGGUUUGUGUUUCGGAAGACUAUGAUUCUAAUAGGAUAACUAAAACUCUUCUAGAGUCAGUCACUUCAAAGUCUUCUGAUAAGACAGAUCUAAAUUUGCUUCAAGUUGAAUUAAGAGAAAAACUCCAGGGAAAGAAAUUCUUAUUUGUGUUGGAUGACCUAUGGAAUGAGAAAUAUGGUGAUUGGAAACGCCUCCAAACUCCUUUUACUUCUGGGGCAAGGGGAAGUAAAGUCAUUGUAACAACACGGAGCCAACAUGUAGUAUCUGUCCUGCAAAGUGUUCAUGUUCAUCACUUGGAACCCUUGUCGCACGAAGAUUGCUGGUUCUUACUUGCAAAACAUGCAUUUGGAAAUGAAAAUUGCAGUGAUCCAAACUUGGAAGAAAUUGGCAAGAAAAUUGCACACAAGUUCAAUGGGUUGCCUUUAGCUGCAGAAACACUUGGGGGUUUGUUACGUUGCAAUAUAGAUUCAGAGGAAUGGAAUACAAUACUAAAUAGCAGUAUUUGGGAGCUACCCUAUGAUAAAUGUGACAUUCUUCCGGCUCUUGGGUUGAGUUACCAUUAUCUCUCCUCCCAGUUAAAACGAUGCUUUGUUUAUUGUUCAAUUUUUCCAAAGGAUUAUGAGUUUAAAAAGGAAGAUAUAGUUCAAUUUUGGAUCGCAGAAGGUUUAAUUCCAAAAGCUGAGAAUGGAAAGAGCAUAGAAGCGGUAGCUAGAAAAUACUUUGAUGAGCUGUUGGCACGAUCGCUAUUUCAAAAGUCAAGCAAAUCCGGUUUCACAAUGCAUGAUCUCAUUAAUGACUUGGCCAUGUUCAUGUGUAAGGCAUUUUGCCUUAGGCUAGAAGGGGGGGAAUCACAUGACGUAGAAAAAGUUCGGCAUUUUUCAUAUGCUAUAGAAAGAUUUGAUGCAGCUCCAAAAUUUAAGCCAUUACAUGGGGCUAAGUUUAUGCGGACCUUUCUACAAGAUUUGUUGCCAUCACUAAGAUGUUUACGGGUGUUAUCAUUGUCACGUUAUCAAAAUGUUACUGUGUUACCUGAUUCUAUUGCAAACCUCAUUCACUUGCGCUACUUGGAUCUUUCCCAUACCGCUAUUGUUUCUCUCUCCUUGAAUUGCCUACAGACAUUAGAAAAUUGAUUAAUUUACAGAAACUGACGUUGAGAGGUUGUACGUCUCUUAAUAAAUUGCCUGCAGGCAUGAAGGAGUUGACUAAUUUGCAUCAUCUUGAUGUCAGUGGAACUAAAAUUGAAGAGAUGCCGGUGCAAAUGGGUAGAUUGAAAAGUUUGAGAACAUUGACUGCAUUUGUUGUGGGCAAAUCUACUGGGUCAGGCAUAAGAGAACUGAGGGAGUUCCCGCAACUUCAAGGAAAACUAUCAAUUUUGAAGCUACAAAAUGUAGUUGAUGCGAGGGAUGCACUGCACGCCAAUAUGAAGCACAAGAAAGAUCUCAAGGAGUUAGAGUUUUCAUGGGGUACGGAGGAUGCUGAUGAUUCCCAAAAGGAGAAAGAUGUACUCGACAAGCUCCAGCCUUGCAUGAAUUUGGAGAAAUUAACCAUCGGAUUUUAUGGUGGAACCAAUUUUCCGAAUUGGUUAGGAGACUCGUCUUUUUCUAACAUACGAGUCAUGCAUCUCAGUGACUGUAGUUAUUGUUGGUUGCUCCCACCAGUUGGACGGCUACCGGCACUCAAAGAGCUCUGUAUAGAAAGAAUGAAGUCUUUGAGGACGAUUGGCGUUGAAUUCUAUGACAGAGAUGGAGCUUAUCUGACUCAGCCAUUUCGAUCUCUGGAGAAGCUAGAGUUUAGGGAGAUGCCGGAGUGGGAGGAAUGGGUACCAAGUGGAAGUGCAAGUGGAGGUGAAUAUGGUCCAGACUUUCCUCGUCUCCAGGAGCUGAUUCUAAACGAGUGUCCGAAGCUAAGAGGAAGUUUGCCUUGUGAGUUGCCUUGCUUGAAGAAGCUUACGGUGUAUGGGUGUGAGGUUUUACAUGAUGGAAGGGCGGCUACCGCAACUACCAAUAGUCUUAACUAUAAAUCUCUGGAAGAAUUGGAUAUACAUGGUGGAUGCCAAACUCUGUUAUCAUUAUUAGAGACAAAGCUCCUGUCCCGACUUGACAGACAGUGCUUGCCCAACUGCAAUCGUCUUCAAAGUUUGACUCUUUCGAAUUGUCCAACGCUGUCGUCGUUUCCUAAAGAUGGCCUACCCAGUACGUUGACAUCACUUGAUAUAAACAAUUGUAGGAAAUUAGAAUUCCUACCUCAUGAGAUGUUGGCCAAAUUAACAUCGCUUGACUAUUUGUGCGUACAAAAUAGCUGUGAUUCAAUGAGGUCCUUCCCGUUGGGCAUUUUUCCCAAAUUGACGACGCUUCAAAUUCGUGGUUGUGAGAAUCUGGAAUCUUUUUCCUUGAUUGAAGAAGAAGGAGCUGUUGAGAAUCUUAGCCAUCUCAAUGACUUGCAAGUCUCUAAAUGUCCAAAAAUGGUGUGUUUUCACGAGGGAGAAUUGCCCACUCCCAACCUGAGUCACUUUGUAGUCAGUGAUUGCGAGAAUUUGAAGUCAUUGCCCGAACGCCUUCACACCCUCACAGCCCUUCGAUAUUUGUCGAUAUGGAAUCUUCCGAAUCUGGAGUCAUUUGCAGAAGAUGGGGGUUUGCCUCCCAACCUCCGAUCUUUUAGCAUUUGGAAUUGUAAGAGACUGAGGGCUUCAUCAGUGGGAGAGUACUGGGGUUUGCAAGCACUUGACUCCCUUGAGAUCGAUGGAAGUGACCAUGUCUUGGAGACGUUGCUGUUCCCUGCCACUCUUCACACUCUCCGCAUCUCUGAUCUAUCAACUCUGAAAUCUUUGGACGGAAAGGGUCUUGGACACCUCACUUCUCUUCAAAAGCUAGAAAUUGACAGCUGUCCAAGUCUGGAAUUACUGCCAGGAGAGGAACUUCAACACCUCACUUCUCUUCAAACUCUAAUUAUUAGUUCGUGUGGCAGUCUCCAAUGCCUGCCAGAAGAGGAUUUGCCGUCAUCUCUUUCUCAUCUGAGUAUCUGGCGGUGUCCUCCCCUGGAGAAAAGGUAUAAGAAUAAGACGGGACAAGAUUGGGCAAAGAUAUCUCACAUUCCUUGCAUCAAGAUAGGAUACGAACUGAUCAUAUAAUAUGAGCUAUUCCAUAUUUCAUGCUCAACCCUCAACUCUCAAAUCAAAGUCAGGUGAGGUGUGUGCCUUCUCUUACUUUAAAAAACUGCUUCUCUUCUUCUAAUUGAAUACAAAAACCAAAACACAUAUUCUCUUUCUCUUCCAAAAACCCAAAUACAUGUUGGACAUUGCCCAAAUUUGAUCUCCAAAUUCCUAAUUAUUUCACGCUUUUUGUUAUUUUAUGGUUGCUGGUCACAAAUUAUAUCCUACUUGGAGUAUCAAAUGCUGAAUAAUUAGCAGUCUUUUUGCAGGACGACAUACCUUCUCUUGGCCCUUGGGGAGCUUUUCAAAAUUUGCAAGGUUUCUUUAUGUGGCAUUUCCAGAGGAGGGUCACAGGGCGGAGAAACAGAAAAGGUUUACCUGGAAUAUCUCAUACAUUCCUGCAUGUAGGCAUCAAAUGUACACCAUUUUUAGGUACUUUUAUAUGAAAAAAAUUGUAUUUGAGUCUCAUUUGCACUAGUUUAAAUCAAAUUUAAUGCCUAUGGAUAGUCUAUUAAUAGGUUCAUGCCAUGAAUUAAUCUUUGGACUUUCCCAGGUACUGCAGGUUUGUUAUUAAUGUUGUGGCUAGGUUGUCUUACGUUGAGGAGAGAGAUCGAUCAGCAAUUACAAAAUUGUUAGCGAAUUUAGUUUGUUUAUCAUCUCUCUCCUUUUGUUUGUUAAGUUUUGUUGUUCUAGGUUAAACCCUUGUCCCCGCAUUUCACAGCAACUCUGUGUUAUUCCACUCUGUUUAGAUUUCAUUUAUGUUGUGAUUCGACUGCUGCUGUAUUUUAGAUUUCGUUCAUGUAAUGUUAGGAUGUUUAAUCUCUGAUCUGUGGUGGUAGUUGAGUAGUUGAGUAGUCUAGUUAAUCCAGUAGAUAACUUGUCCCCUGUUUUGUAUUGUUUUUAUUUCUCUGGUAAUGAAAGCACGUUUCUUAUAAAUAAAUAAAAAAUAUUUCAUUGAUAUUCAUUGCUUAUUUUGAACUGCAGAAGCCUACUUUUGUCAGAGUCAGUAGAUGCCAGAAUGAAGUCAUUGCCUAAACACAUUGGCACCCUCACAGCCUUCGACAUUUUGGGAUAUAUGAUCUUCAAAAUCUUGUGUCAUUUGCCUCCCAACCUGCAAUAUUUUCAUAUUUUAAAUUGUGACAGACUGAGCCCUUUGGUGGGAGAUUACUGGGGUUUGCAAGGACUUGGUGGCAAUAUCUUGUAGACGUUUCUCAAGGAACAGCUGCUCAAUGCCACUCUUCGCACUCUAUAUAUUAUGGCCUGUCAGUCUAAAAUUCCUGCCAGGAGAGGAACUUGAACGCCUCUCUUCACUGCAAAGGCUACAUAUUUGUGGGUGUGACAAUACCCAAUUCCUGCCAGAAGAGCGUUUGCUGCCAUCUCUUUCUUAUCUGUGCAUCGACCAUUGUUUUGCCAUGUAGAAAAGGUAUCUCACAUUCCUUGCGUCAAGAUAGGUGAAGAAGUGAUCAUAAGGUAUGAGCUCUCUCUCCCUCUCGCUCACAUACAAAGUACUUAAACACUCAAUCUGAUUUCUAUUAUUAUUUUGCUCAGUAAAUUUUGUUUAAAUUUGCUUUAUUUCUCAUUGCGCUUGUUCUGCUUAUCACAACUUAUAUCCUAUUUAAAUCUCAAAUGCUGAAUAAUUAGCAGGCUUUUCGCAGGACAACAUAUCUUCUCUUGGAGAGAUAUUCAUUUGCAAGGUUUCUUUAUGUGUCAUUUCCAGAGGAGGGUUUACUAUUUAAUAGAAAGGUUCACCUGGAAUAUCUCAACUGACACAUUCCCAAAUACAAGCAUUGAAUGCACAACAUUUUGAGGUACUAUUUUUGUAAUAAAAAUGUACUUGAGUCUCAUUUGAGCUAGUUUAAAUUGUAUUCAAUGUCUAUGGAUAACCUGUGAGCUUAAGUAGUAAGAUAAAACUCACAGUAUAUUAUUAGGGUUUAGGGUUCAACAGGUGAGCUUUAGUUGUACUUUCCUAGGUACUGCAUGUAUAUUAUCUUCGUAUCAACAGGUGGUCUUAUGUGGACGAGCGAGAACAUUGAGGAAUUACAAAAUCUUCUUAGCUUGUUUCAGCUCUGUUUGUCAUCCCUCACAUUUUCUUUGUUAAGCCUUGAUUUUUUAUUAGACAUAAGAAAAAAUGCUUUUAUAAGACAGGAGAUGAAUGCUUUUAUAUGUUGAUGUCAUAGUCAGUCUUCAACCACACUCUGUUUUUAGAAUUCAUUUAUGUUACAAGUGGAGUGCUGCUGUAUUUUAUAUUUCGUUCCUGUAAUGUUUGGAUGUUUAGCUUGAGUAGUCUAGCUUAUCCAGUAGAUAACUUGUCCCCUGUUUUGUAAUGUUUUUGUUUCCUCUAAUGAAAGCAGGUUUUACUUAUCUUGAAUUGCAGAAGCCUACUUUUUGACAUAGGUGGCAUGGCACAAACUCGCAUCCGCAUUUCCUUCCCCAUUGGCAUGCUGUCUCAUCUUUUCUAUUCUGUUACCAGCUUGAAGCUUGUGUAGACAUGUUAUGCUCUUGUAAUUCUGAUCACAAACAUCACUUGACAAAUGGAAAGUCACAAUCAGAUCUUUCAGGUGAUCUGGAGGUUUACUUUCUAACAUUUGUUUUCGUGGGGGGGGGGGGGGAGGACAACAAUACAGAAUUUAAAAUUUCUGAUAAUCAAUAGUAGUUUGCAUAUAUCAGCUGGGACCUGUAUGACUGUAUUAUGUAAUUAAUUAUUCUCUUAUUGUUUUGGUACUGUUAAAAGGAGUUAGCCACACAAAAUAAAAAAGGAGGCCUCUUAUUUCAUACUAAUCGUCUGGUCCAUCUGCUGCUUCACUCCCUAGUAGCUUCAUCUCCUGUCCUUUGCUUUAUUUCUGUUAUUUAUUUUGAUUUCAUGUCCAUUGCUUCAUUUCUGUUUGGAUUCUUAAUUAAAUCUGUCCUGGACUUGAACAAGGGUUAGGUUAGCUGUAUAAUUUGCGGUUUUAUAUACACAACUGUCUACAUUGAUUAAAACCAGCAUUAUUCUAAGGUUCAUUUAGAAUGUAUUAUCACCAAAAUUAUAAAGUAUACUUCUAUUACAAUUAAUUUGUUGAUUCUAAUUUGGACUUGUAGGAACAGACCAAACAUGUUCAUAUGUGGCAUUGCUCAAGUCAUCAUCAUUCGGGACAGAGAAUAAGCCUUCAAAUGUCUGCUGAGUCAAUGAACCUUUCUAGAUAUCUCAAGUGUAAUGGAAAUUGAUGAGUUACAAAGGAUUUGUAAACAUUUUCUACUGGAGGCUAGAAAUGCUUCAAAUAAAUGACUGUGUUGCAAUUAUUUUGUAGGAUCAAAGACUCUGCAAAGAGGUAAGAAAGUCAUCAUCAAAUAACUUUGCUCUUCAAACUUUUUAUUUUUAUUUUUAAAUAUCAGUAAUAACUGGGAAAGCUUGCAUCUCCUUAAAUUGCUCAUUCUUACAUCUUUUAUAGUUUGUUGAUCUUGGGCAAGUGGAGAGAGAGGCGUCAAGUGAUACACAACAACCAUUUUCUGUGAGCUGAUUUGAUAAAGAGAAAUGGUAUGCUUUCUUGUCUUAAGCGGUGUGUUCUGCAAUUAUUUGAAACAAAGGAUGCCGCACUUCAAGUUCGAGAAAAUCAGGUAUUUUAGUAUUUUAUUCUUGAGAAAUUUGAUUUAUGUAGAAACUUGAACAUGUAAAUGAGAGAAAUAUAUAUAUAUAUAUAUUAUAUAUUGUAUAUGCUGUUAAUGAGUUAAUAUGGUGCUUGCUCCUAGUUGGAAAUUUAUGUAGUCAUCUACCUAUGAUCAAAUAAAGAUGAAAAAUAAAAUAAAAUUGAGAGCAUCUUCCUCUCCCCUGCUUUGCUCAUCCCUUGUUCUUCCACUUCAGCCCCACUAUUACACCAUUUUUUCAGCCACAAUUAUAAUAGCUCCAUGAGCAUAUUAACAUCAGUGGCCACAGUUCCAUGAUUUGAGUGCACAGAAAGGUUUCAAAAAUUGUCCCAAAAGUACAGUCGUUCAAAGUGAAAGAGAGUUUUCAAAGCUUAAUUACAAGUUCAUGUUAUUUACAAUAGCAAAAAGCUUUCAUUCUUGCUUACAAACUUGUAUUUCCAAGUUCUGUAAACCUUGGAAUUUCACUUCAUCCAAAUCCCCUUCCAAAGCAGGAAAAAAUGGCAGCAGCUUUGAUUGGAGAGGCUCUCAUCUCUGCUUCUAUCGAGGUGUUGUGUGACAGAGUUACUUCAGCCGAGUUCAUAGACUUAUUUCAGCAGAAGAACUUGAUGAAACACUCCUCAUGAACCUGAAGACAACACUGUUGAUUUUGUUUGCGGUGCUCAAUGAUGCAGAGGAGAAGCAAAUUGUGAACCCUGCUGUGAGAGAGUGGCUUAACAGCUCAAGCAUGCUGUCUUUGAUGCAGAGGACUUAUUUGAUGAGAUUGACACUGAAGCUUUGCGAUGCAAGCUGGAAGGUGAGGAUCAAACCCACAAUAGUUAACCAACAAGGAUCUUUUUGAUUGUUUGAAAGAAGAGUCUUUGAUGAUUUGAAAGGAGAGGGUUGCUUUAUUUCUGUUGGAUGCGUAAUUAAAUCUUAUUUGGAGUUGAACAAGGAUUAGAUUAGCUGUAUAAUUAGUGGUAAACGCCUUUUUCUAAGGGUCAUUUAGACUCCUAUUACGAUUAAUUUGUUGUUUCUAAUUUGGACUUAUAGGAACAGACCAAAUAUGUUCACACGUGGCAUCGCUCAAGUCAUCAUCAUUUCAGACUGAAAAUCAGCCUUCAAGUGUCUGUUGAGCCAAUAAACCUUUCUAGAUAUAUCAAGUGCAAUGGAAAUUCAUGAGUUACAUAGAGAUUUGUAAACAUUUUGAAGAUUGCAACACCUGCAAGUGAGAUAGGCGGUGACGAAAUCAGAGCUGAUUUUGAAGCCUCUGAUGCCCCUGUUGUUGCAAGUUGCACCUGAGAACAUGUUUUUUUUUUCUUUGGGGUAAAAAAACUGGCAACAUGUUCGGAGCUGACAAUUCAAUCCCUGAUGAACUAGAGAAGCGAAGCUCCGGUAAGGAAUUGGUCAAGGUUGUGACAGGGAUGAUUGAUGGUGAAAUGGAUGCUAUUUCUUAUUGCAGCCUGUUCUCAAAGUUCUUGUUGGCAAAUGCAAGAGAUGGAGUAUUUUGAUUGGGAGGAGAUAUAAUGACAUGGCUUGACAAUUCUAGAACAGCCCAUCAUUAAUCCCAGAAAAAAUCCAGUUUCUGCUAAACAAUCACUUAUGGCAAGGCCAACUCUGUAAAUGGAAUUUGUGAUCCCUUGAAAUUGUACACAUUUUUUCUUUUUGAGGAAUUUAAUCAAACAGUAUUCUAAUGUAUUAUGAUAGCACUACACGCUUUUGUUGUAACAAAUUACAAGGAGGAAUUUGGAUUGAGUUUCUUGUAUAAGCACACCUUACACAAAUUUGGUAUAUUUUCUUCCAGCAAGUCUGUUUAUUAACCCCCUUAUCUGAAAUUAAUUGUUAAAAGUUUUGAUUCAUCUUUAAUCAGUGUCUAACCCUUGUUGAAUAACACUCCUCUUUCUAAUUUAUAUUUGAAGUUUGAGGUUUCAAUUUCAAUUGUGGGCUUUGAUUUUACAGAUUUUGUUUGUCAAUUUCAGUUUGGACAAAGCAUAUGCAAACAAAAUAAGCAUUUUAUGUUAUACUUUUGAAAUAGGUGUUGAUUUGAUUUAAUCAUAAGUUUUGCUGGUGCAUUUACUAGGCUAUCAUUCAAUACUUUUGAUCAUAGAACUUCUUUGGUCGAUAUUAUCUUUGUUAAGUUUAACCAUAAAUUUAGAGAGGGGACUUCAACAGAUUUAUAAUCUCAUCAUUAUAGUAUUAAAAAUUAGAGAUUAAGGCAUUGUCUAUUAUCUGAAUUCUGCUUACUUUUAGUUCAUAUGUUUACAUCUUAGCAUAUUCAUGCGAUUAGUGCGGCUCAUACCACAAAGGCAACUUUAGGCUCAUCAAGUGCUAAGCAAUGUCAAGCUUCCAAGUGACAAGUUCUCUACAUAGUUUGAGACCUACACUUACUAGAUAUUAGAUCAUUUCGAUCAUUUCCAUAUGUUUAUAUGUAAUUGACAUGUUAUAACAAUUUUUGUAGCGUUAUAUAAUUAUUUAGCAAUUUAAUUAUUUCUUUGCAUCAAGAAAUAGUUCUUAAGUUAUUAAAAAAAAAAAAAAAGAUUUAAAAAAAAAGAUUUGUUGAUGCUUAAAAAGCAUCAAGAACAGGUAGUUUCUUGACGGUUUAGUGACGUUUCAUAACUGUAGGAGGCUUUUUCUUCCGACAGCUGUAAAUGGGCUGGGUUGCCGUAAAGGGCAGACUGAUGAAAUUGUCCCCUUUUGUCUGAGCUAGAAAAUUAAGCCCCAAAAUACUUCGAAAGGGCAGCAGAGCCUUAGGAAGUAUUUUGGUUACCCUCACCAACUAAAACAACAACAACUUACAGGUAAUUUCUUAAUGCUUACAGAUGAACUCUUGAGCUUGGCAUGAGAGACAUGUGGCAUGGAAGCAAAAUCAACAUGAGUUUAGCACUGAGGGGAAAUUUAGGCUCUCUUGGGGGAAAAAGGGAAGUGUUAAGGUGAGAGAGGAGAAGUUUGUAGGAGAUUUAGCUAAGAAAGGAGAAAUAUAGAACAAUGCUCUUCUGGCAGCUUGACAGAUGCUCUGUCUGCCAGAAAAGGAAGAUGGAGAAGAAAUGUGAAUAGUGCACGAGUUUGCUAGAUUUUUGCAGGUAAGAGAGGAAGCUUGCUCUCUGGGUCUGAGUUGAGUUUUGUUAGGUGGAAGAGACCUCAUUUUAUAGCUCCUGGAAACCAUCACUUCCCAAGAAACCCUAAUGGCUUCUACCCAUUUUGGCCAAGCUUUUCCAUUCCUUUCUCAUUUCCUUCCUUGACUUUACCCCUCUUGAUGAAAUCCUCUCUACCUAUUUGCACCAGAUCAGAGUUUUUUGAAGCUUAAGGCCCCCUUUUCCCGCAGUUGUCUCAAUGGGAGACUUUCAUUCCUAGUCAUUUCCUUUAUUGCUUUCCUUUCUUUUUUUCAUGGCCAAGUCUGGUGGGGAAAGGAGUUGGGAUAAAUAUGCUAGUUUGAAGGGUGCUUCUCUUCUUGGCAUCUUACACACUAAUACCCCUUGGUUCCUUGAAUGUUUUGGCUUUGAAACUUGCUCCCCUCCAUGUAUUGGAACCUCCCAGCAGCCCUGGUCAAUGAAUCUUCAGACCUUCUCUUCGUGGCUUUUAUUUUUUUAUCAACUGGCUAGGGCUUUUGUGGCUCAUUGGGGCAAUUGUAUGGGCUAAGGUGGUUCAUUAAGUAAGUGGGCUAUUUUUAUUAAACAUUGAGCUUUUUGGUUGAGUCACUAGGCUAUUUUGAUUGGGCUAUUGGGCUAUUGUUUCCUCUCUUGUGCUCACCCACAUGUUUGGACCAAAGAAAUGAGCUUGAGUCCUGAGGCUCCCAAGCGACCCGAGACUUUCCAUUUAUCGGUCCAUCAAUGGGCCUCAUGUUGAUUUAUUACCAUCCAUACCACACCCCACUCAAGCAAGCCCCGGGCAUUUGAGUGGCUUGGGCCCACUUAGGCUUGUAGUGUGGUUGGGUGCAAAAUAACGAUUUCGUGCUUGGCAUGUUUUAAUUUUAUCAUCCAUGGGAAAGGCUGCGAUGUUUGAUUUCGGCAUGGGCUUGUAGAGCUGGUAUGCUUUAUUUCAACUCCUAGCAUGACGAAUUAUUUAUUUAGCAUGGCACGUGAAUUACAACUCGCAUGUGGUGGGUUUUUGUGUACUACACCUUACGCCUCUUCUUAAUAGAACAUCGUUUCUGAUAAUUUAUUUGGGCCCAACCGUGAAUUUUUUGGAUCUCAAUAAUAACCAUCAUGAAACAUUACAUUUUGACUGACAUCAAGAAAUGGGGUAUCCCUUUCUUGAUAGUGGCAUCCAUGAUGCCUUCCAAGCCGUCAAUUAAGGGCUAUCGCGAUGCAUUUUAGUUGUCAGCAAAAGGUGUUUUUCUUGUACUAUAUUCACUCAAAAUCGUGUUUCAUUUAAGAUUAGUAGUAUGGUUGAAUACCAUUUGUUUUGUUAAAGAAUAUUAUACAUUAGGGAUUUUUGUAGAAAUGUCAUUUGAACUUAUACCUUAGUUUCAAUUUGUCACCUUGAAGAAAAAUUUAAGAGAAAUAUCACCUUAAUUUUUUAAAAUCCAUGAUUUGUCAUAUGACUUUAAGAUCAUCCAAUUUUCCAUCCAUUUUAAGGGUAUUUUAGACUUUUCAUUUUCAAGGAAAAAAAAGAGAUGAAAAAAGAGACCUCUCUCUUACUUUGUCCCCCAACCCAACCCCACCCGCCCCCAAAAACACAUCACAUAGGAUUGCCUCCCCCUUCCCCACUUUUCUUUUUUCUUUUUGUCAUACUUUUCCACUGUGUUUAUGUUGAAGGAUCUAAAGUUUGCUUGGUCACCAUCUUUUACGUAGGCUUCCUAAUUGUUGGUUUGGGUGGGUUGUGGGAAUUUGUGUGUGGAGGGCAAGGCUCUAUCUGACAGGACCCACCUCGAAUUCCUCGAAACCCGAGACGAAUCUUGUAGAAUUUCCGACAUCACACCGAUGCCGGGUCCACUUCUGAACUAAAUCCUCUUUUCCAAAAUUAAGGAAAAAUAGUACGAGGCUUUCUGCCAAAAUUUCGGCAGUCUUCCCUAUAAAUUUAACGUUUCAGCUUUGGAGGCCGUUCUUUCAUUUCUGCUUUGGUGGCCGGAUGAGAGAACGGCCGGCUAAAACGUGGCCAGCUGGCACUGCCGUCACGAGAGAGAGAGAGAGAGAGAGAGAGAGAGAGAGAGAGAGAGAGAGAGAGAGAGAGAGAGAGAGAGAGAGAGAGAUGUUUAUCAAACCAUUUUUGCCAAAAUUACGAUUAUGCAACUGAGGGUAUUUUGAUCGUAUCUUUUUCGUUAUAACUCCGAUUCAAGCCCACUACAUAUCUACGGACUCAUCUCGCCGUGCUCUAUGCAAUUGUAUAGUUGAAAUUCCCAAAUUCCAUCCCAGUCAAAAAGUCAACUUUAAACCUUAUAAAAUAUUCUAAGGGCAAAAUGGUCUUUUAUCUAAUUAAAUUAAUAAUUGAAAAUUUAUUUAGGACCGGGUCGUUACACUGUCGUUGAUGGACUGUGCGAUGGCACUCACACAAAGUCCUUAAGAAUAAAACACACACACACCAUGAAGAGAGUAAAACAAAUGCACAAAGAUUUAUAAAGGUUUGGCCUCCUGCCUACAUCCUCUUGGUGAUCCACCCGAGAAAUUCACUUGUACGUAAGAACAACUUUGGUUACAACUAAACCCCCUUAGCUUUCAUAAGAACCCUAGAUCUCUUUUCUCCCACCCUUGCUCCAACCCUUUGAUGCCCUUGUAAACACUCAAGAAUUCAUCCUUGAAUUCUAUCAUGUGUUACAUCUUCUCUUCUCCCCUUUGCCAACCUAACCCUACAAGUUAUAUUUAAAAUUCAUUGGACUUUAAGUACAAGUUAACUAGGAAUAGGAAACAUAAAAGACCCCAAAAAUUGGAGAAAAUAUGUCUAGAUCUCAUUAGGAAAUUGCACAACACGUGCGAUCCUCUCGAGCGCCUGCAAAAUCAUCCCUUUGCCGCUCGAGCUGCCGAUAGCUCAUGGGAUGGGGGAAUUAGAAAUUUUUUUUUUUCAAUUUUAAUUGUUUAAAAGAUAUACAAUUUAUUAAUAAUAAUUUUUCCAUUUUUAAAAUACCCUUGAAAAUAGAAAGAUUAAAAUGCCCUUAAAAAUGGAUGGAAAAUUGGAUGGUGUUAAGGUCAGAUGACAAAUCAUGGAUUUUGAAAAAUUAAGGUAACGUUUCUCUUAAAUUUUUCUUUACAGUGACAAAUUGAAAUUGAGGUAUAAGUUCAAGUUACAUUUCUGCAAAAAUUCUUAUACAUUAUGAUAUUCUAACAAUAAUUGGCUAAAAUUGAUAUGUUCCCUCUUUUAUUUUCUUUUUCUCUUUUCCUUUUCAUUUUAUGAUCCAAUCCUUUUCAUAUAUUUUUGUUCAAGACUUUGUUUUAUAAUGCUCUAUUACUAAUUUGGUACAGGUCCCUAAAAUCUCGGAGCCGCCUUAGUACAUUCAUAACGUACAUGUUCAGAGUUCAAGAAUAAUGUAUAGAAUGUGAAAUUGACGAUGCCGGCCUUUAUGAGGCAACAUCUUUAUUUCUUUGGUUAUUCCAGUUUAGAAUAUUUGCACAAAUGAGAUGACUCCAAGCAUAAAGUCACAUUCGACCAAAAAGCAUAAAGUCACACACAAAAAGAACACGGACAAUUGCUAAGUUUAUCCUUGUACCCUUAUUUUAUUGAUCCGACCCAAUUGAAAAAUAAAAAAAGAUGAUAAAAAAUAUUGUUCACUGCUUUAAAAUCUAUGAGUAGAGUCCUCCAUUUGAAAUUUGGUCAUUAUACAAAAUUGGAAUGAAAAAAGAAAAUCCUAAAGCUAUAUUUGAUAUAUUUCAUUUUCAUUUUUUGCUGGGUGUUAGGGCUCGUCAAUGGGCCGGGCCUGGCUAGCCCGGCCCGAAUUUAAUGGGCUUGGGCCAGGCCGGCCCAGGCUUUAAAGAGGAGAGAGAAAAUAUCAGGUCGAGUUUUUUAAGAAAAUUCAAAGCCCAAGCCUGACCCAUGAGCCGGGCUUGAGAAAGCCCAUCGGGCCGGGCCGGGCCUAAACGGGCCCUACUUCAUUCAAAAAAAAUCAUUAACUUAAUCAUAAGGUCAUUUUAGUCCAAAUUUGAGAUUAAACUCACUUAAUUCUAAUAUUUUUACUUCAAACCAAAUUCAUAAAACACCCAAUAAAGUCACACAACUUGUAAGAUUUUCCACAAAAAUAAUAAAACCAAGUAUUAUUUUUGAGGUUAUUACAUAAUUAGAUCGUAAUACGUUUUAAAAAAUAAUUUUUAAAAAUAAUAUUAAUAAGUAUCAAAAAAAUAUUUUUUUAAAGGAUGGUAUGAAUAAAUAUGCAAAUAUUUGGUGAUGUGUUCAAGAAAAGGAUGAUUAUAUUUGGUGGUACGAUUAUGUUUCGUGAUACGAUUAUAUUUAGUGAUGUGAUAUGUUGUUCAUCUUAUAUAUAUAUAUAUAUAUAAUUGUUGAACUAAUAAUUGACACAAAUUAAUGUGUUAAUCAUCCAAUUAUAAACUAGGAGUGAAUAAAGAAAAGUAAAUGAAAUGAAACAAAUUAUAUGUGUGAUUUAAGUGAUAUAAUCCUAAACCUAAACUCUUAUUUAUACAUAAUUAUAUAUGUAUGCGGGCCUAACGGGCCGGACUUUUGUGGGCGUGUCGGGCCGGGCUUUCUUGGGCUUAAUCAGGCUGGACCUAUGGGUCAGGCCGGGCUUCAAACACCCCAACACGAGCCUAGCCUAGCCCGCCUUGGGCCGGGCCAUCUCAAAGCCCAUAACGAGCCGGAUCGGGCUUUUUUCGAUUGGCCGGGCGGGCCCCCUCGACCCAUGAGCCCGCGGGCCAAAUGAUGAGGCCUACUGGGUGUUCAAUUUUUCUUGUUUCUUGUUGAAAAGAAAAAUGAUAAUUAAUAAAAUCUGAUUUGGUGGUUGUGCUCGUCACAAAUCAAUGAAAUGACAGCAGUGAUUUUGCAAGACAGCAUACCUUCUCUUGGGGUGCUUUUCAUUUUGCAACAUUUCUUUACGUGUAAUUUCCAGAGGAGGGUUUAUCAUUGUAUAUAGCUCUUCGGGUGGUUUUUUCUGCAAAACAAAUGUCACAAGGAAGGAGGAGAAACGGAAAAGAUUUACUUGGAAUGUCUCAAGUCUCCUUUGAGAUAAAGGCAUCGAAUGCACAACAUUGUUUUUGUGCUAUUUCAUAAUUAAAGUGUGCUUCCCAAGUCUCCUUUGCGUUUUGUAACUUGUAAUGUUUGUUUUUUUGUUUCCCCUGUUUUGUCUUUUAUAAAAGAAAGAGGAAUGCUAGCAACCUUCUCUCUAAUCUUCUCUUUUGGACCUUCUCCCUUUUCUUUUUGACAAGUGUCAUUUUCCAUACACUUAAAACAAUGACAUUAAUGCAUCACACAAUUUAGUUUUUGUUUUCCAAGUUUACCAUUUUAAAAUGUAUUGGCUUUUAUAUUUCCUUCAAUUAUUCACAUUUUGUUAUAACUUGUUUAGCACAUUAUUUUUUUUAAUUUAAAAAAAGUCAUAUUUUUUAAAAAUAAAAAUAAAGUUUGUUUCAUGACAUUGUUAUCAUUUUUAUUUUGUUUUUAACAAAACACGCAUUCUCUUUGGAAAAAUUAAAAAUUAAAAAACAAUUCAGUUUUUAUUUUCUUAUUUAAUUUUUAACAAGCUAGUAAGAAAGUUAUAAAAAAAAAUUAGCUUGUUAUUAAAAAAAAAUUAAUACAUUUAAUAAGGGUAAAUUUGGAAAACAAAAACUAGUUUGUGUGAUGCAUUAAUGACAUUGUUUUUAGUUUAAGGAAAGUGACACUUGUCAUGAGAAGAAGGGAGAAGGUCCAAAAGAGAAGGUUAGAGAGAAGGUUGUUAGCACUCCCCAUAAAAGAAAUACAGGUCUGAACCACACGGAUCUACUUGCAUAAUAAUGGACCAAAUUUAUGAUUUUUAGAAAGAACCUUCUACUGGUGGAAUCUUGGGCUACUGUUGUGGCUCUCCUCUGUGUGCCUCCUUUUUAGAAUGGUAAAAUAUUCAAAAUACCAGAAAAUGUUCAUGAUUAAUGCAAAUAUUAAGAAUUGAAAUUAUUAAUUAAAUGAAGAUAAUAUGGUAAAUUCACACUUUUUCAUAUUAAAAAAAUUAAAAUUAAAAGAAAUAUCAGAUAAUUACUCUUAUUUUUAUGGAACACAGCUACCCAUUAUCUUUUUUAAUUAUAAAAUAAAUUUAAAUUAUAAAAAAAAAAUCCUCUCACAUGCACGGAAGCGCGUGCUCAGAGGCUAGUUAAAAAUAAUGAACUUUGCUUCUGAUGUCUAUACCAGACCCACUCAACCUGCUUUAUGAUUAUACAAAGAACAAACUCGUCCUUAGACUCAUUUGGUUAAACUUAGAAAAUAAUGAAACAAAAAUAUACACACCCACAAGUAACACAGCCAGGAUUGAAAACAACUGGACAAAGAAAGGCAUGUUAAAACAGAAUUUUCAACAACUCAUCACCAUUAGACAAGAAAAAGAAAAAUCAAUACAGAAACAGAAAGAACAGAGAAUAAAUGUGGUGGAAGAAAAACGUUGAAGCCAUUUGUGAAUCCAACAACACUACCACUCUGUUUCUCUCCUUUUGUUCAGGCGGAUCUGCAUAUAUCCUAAGGCGUAUUACGGAAACAACUUCUUGCCGUUAUACUUGAAUGUUGUGGAUGCUUCAACGUUGCCAUCUGGGUGGAGUGGAUUUGUCCAAUUCACCUUCACUAUGGUUAAUCAACUAGACAGACAUAAGUCAGAAACAAUAGGUAUAUAGGUCCAAAUUGUUGUUAUUUGAAAGGCUUCUAAAUUUUAACAUUUUGAUUUCUAAAUUUUGUUUUAAUAUUUCGGCCCACUUAGUUCUUCUCAAAAUAUGUCAUCAAUAUCGUUGAAAGGUUGAACUUAGUGAAUUAUUAUAGUGCAGUACGGUAAAAUAGGCACAUGAUAUAAUUUGUCCACAUGUUCUAAUAUAAGUGAAUAUUUAUUGAUAUUAUUUUCAAAAAUAAAAAAUAUCAACCAUUACAUCCUCCCAUAUUAUAAUACAUAUACAAAUUAUACCACAUUAUCAUACUCUAAUACCAUUUUAUAAUUUCUCGUACUUAGGAGGUAUAGAGCGAGUCAAUGACAUUACAUAAUAUAUAAUUGUUCAUAUAAUGGGGCAACUAACGUGAUCAACAAGUUGUGGUGAUUAAUUUAACAUAAUAAAAAACAUACCAUUUACUAUGUAACAAUUUGUUCUUUUAAAUUGGAUUGUCAUCACUUUAAUAUGUUAUGUUUCUUAUUCUAGUCUCCCAUGUUAAGUGCUUCAGCAUUGUUUGUGGUGUGUACACAAAUUUUCUUAUAAAAUGUUUUAAUGCUUCUCACAUGUAUAUCAGAUAUAGACAGUUGAUGUGACUUAGAAAUCAAAUUGUCAAUAAAGAAAAAAAAUAUAAUUGGUGAUCGAGGUCCAAUUUAAUAGAAAAUAGUCUUAAUUUGUAUAUUAAAGGUUUCAGAUUCGAAUCCUCACUGCAUUAUUGUUGUAUGCGUACACGAGAAAUUCUAUUUCCCAAUAAUUUAGAUUAUCACUUAUACUAAAAAAAAUAUAUAUAAUAAGUUUUACGAAUGCAAACAUAAAAUUACACCAAACAAUAAUGGAAUAGAAAGAUGGAAGUUUUUUUUUUUUCCUACAUCUAAAGUAUACUUUAUAUAUAUAUUUAUUAUGGGAGUUAUAACCGUUUAAUUUUCAGUUUUUAUUUUCUAUUUAUUGUGUUAAUUUUUAUGGUUUAAUAUGUAUGGAGAUUACAAGUAUUGGAUGUCUAUAAAGGGCCACUCCUCCUUCACAUCUGAAACAAACCACCAUCUCAUUUCUGUAUUUUCAUACUUUCAUAUAUUUUCUACUUUCCAGAUUAUUAUUUUUGGGCAACGGUUUUGUGACUUGGAGAUUUCUAUCCGAUUGUUAACAUGCUCAUAACGGACCUUGAGCUUGCGUAUUGGGGAUCGUAUCUUGGAGCCUUGUAGACCUUUAUUACGUGCAUGUAGGGAGGCUACAAAUGCUUUAGGUCAGCGUCUUUGACGUACUUUUGCUUUCUUUUUUUACUUAUUUCUUCGUUUCUUUAUUUUUACUUUACUUUUAAAUCUUUAUUUUAUGUAUUAUUUAUAUUUAAAAGUUUUGAAUAAGAGUUUUACAGAAAAGGAAAAACACAAUUUCAAAUAACACAAAUUUCUCGUUUUUUGUUCUUAAAAAAGAAGAAGCAUUGAUUGGGGAGUUAUGGUAAACUCAGUUUCAAUGGUUGCGAUGAGAGGCGGUGGCGGCGAGGAGAGGACGAAGGCUUUGCUGCCGACGGGGUGGUGUGGCUGGCUGCUUGGUCCUGGGUUCUCCUUUAAUUCUCUGUUUUCUUUUUUCAUUUUCUUUUUCUCUUAGAGUUAUUGAUGUUAAGUGAAUGGACAGAUGCCAAAAUAGGGACAGAAGAUGUGAACCCAAUUAUAUACAGCUGCUGCUAUAGCUGAUUACAUAAAGUAACAAAUUAAUUAAUGCUUGAGUGGAGGACAGGCUUGAGUGGAAGAAUUGAUUAAGGCUUGAGUGGAAGACAAACUUCAGUGGAGGAAAGUAUAGAUAAGGAAAGCAUGCCUCGUUUAACGGCUUUAUCUAAUAAAGAUUACUUGUUGGCACUUGGAGUUUCUUAGGAAUGCUGGUUUUGUUUCCUUGGUGGACUUGAAAGGUGGUGCCUUGGCUCGGACAUCUCCCAAGACAUACAACUGCUCAUUAGCUGAAUAUCUCGCUCUCUUUAAAGAGAUCGAAGCAAACACAAUUUGCAAUUUGUGUGAUUCAAGCAUGAAUAUCUGAUAUAGUAACUAUACCAUUUGUUGGUUUGAUAAGAAAAGUUUGGUUAGCGAGGAUGAAACCAUAAAGUUCCCAAAACACACAAAGAACACGGACAAUUGCUAAGUUUAUUCUUGAGUUCACACAUAUUUGCACAAAUGAGAUUAUUCCAAGCAUGAUUAUACCAUUUGUUGGUUUGAUGUGAAAAGUAUGGGCAACGAGGGGUAAAACCAUACAAACACACACGAAGAACGUGGACAAUACUAAAUUUAUCUUUACGUUAUUGAUCCGACCUAACUGUAAAAUAAAAAAGAUGAAAAUAUAUAAUGUUCAGUACUUAGAUCUAUGAGCACUUGCACAAAACAUCACUUUUGGUCUUUGGUAAAUUUUUAAAAUAAAUGAAUUUUUUACUUAUUUGUGAACUGAAAUGCCUCUAAAAAAAUAAUGAUAGUUCGAAGAAUUUGAUAGAAAUUAAAAAAUAUCCUCAAAUUACUUGGAAUUGAAGACCACAUAGGCAAAAACACGAAAUUGAAACCUCACUUUAAUGAUAAAAAUGGUAAACUACAAAGACAAAAAUGACGUCUUGCCUUAUAAAUAAUUGGAAUUUGCUGGUGAUAAUAGUCGAUAUCAUCUUUUGUCGGUCCGACCUAAAAAGAAGAAAAAGUUAAAAGCAUCUUGUACCAAUUUUUGCCAAUGUGGGCCCAAACAAUUUGAAGAAGUCCACCGGCAAUUUCUCAAAAGCUAUUGUGUGAGUGUGAAGCUAAACCAAUAUUAUUUUGCAUAUCCGACCCCACAUCCCCAUGUGAUGUGAGGCUACAGAGGUGUUUCCAAAACGAAAUAUGAUAUUUCAAAACGUAGCUAUGUAUAGAGUCAUUUGUAUUUGCUUUCACAAUAACAUUUGAUUUUAUAUUUAUACAUUCUGAUAUUUUAACAAAUAAAUUGACUAAAUUUGGCCAACAGGAUUUAGCCGAAUAGAAAAGUUCUUAUUUAUGGACUAGUAAUUUUAAAUUUAAAAUUUAGACUAUCGCAUGUAUUUAAAAAAAACUAAACAAUUGGCUUAAUUUGAUAUAUUUCCUUUUUUUCCUUUUUGCAUUUUAUGCUGGUUGCCGUUAUUAAGUUUUAUCCUUAUUUUUUGUUGAAAAGAAAAUUGAAAAAAAUAAUAAUAAUUCCUACAGCUAGCAACUUCUCCACCUACAAAAAAUAAUAUUUUUUGUUUUAUCCUCAUGUGAGGCUACAGAAAAUUUUUGAAAACGAAACUGGAUAUUUUAUCUCUAACGACAGCUUUCAUACUUCGUUUACCCUGUGUUUCCAAGUUGUGCUAGCUAUUUGCAAACCUUGGAAUAUUACUUCAUCCAAAUCCCUUGCAGAGAAAAGAAAGAUAUGGCUUUGAUCGGAGAGGCCCUCAUCUCUGCUACCAUCCAGACGUUGUGUGACAAAAUUGCUUCGCCUGAGUUCACCGACUUAUUUCGGCAGAAAAAGCUCGAUGAACAACUCCUCAACAAGCUGAAGACGACGCUGUUGACCUUGUCCGUAGUGCUUAAUGAUGCAGAGGAGAAGCAAAUUGAGGAACCUUUAGUGAGAGACUGGCUUGACAAUCUCAGACAUAAUGUCUUGGCUGCGGAGGACUUACUGGAUGAAAUCGACACUGAAGCUUUGCGAUGCAAACUGGAAGAAGGUGAAGGUCAAACCCACAAUUUAACCAAGAAGGUACGUGAUUUUUAUCAACGCAUGAAUGUUGAGAUGAAAGAUUUAUUAGAAAGAUUAGAACAAUUUGUACAAGAGAAAAGUGCUCUUGGUUUGAGAGAAGGUGCUGGGAGGAAGGUUUCACGAAGAACAACAACUUCCUUGGUUCAUGAACCUUGUGUCUAUGGUAGAGAUGAAGUCAAAGAAAAUCUGUUGCCAAUUUUGUUAUCUGAUGAUGCAAGUAAGGAUGAUGUGUCUGUCCUCACCAUUGUUGGAAUGGGUGGGAUUGGCAAGACAACCCUUGCCCGACUGCUUU
rnacentral:lncRNA from 1 species